GAACGGUACAGCUGAUAAACAUAGGAUACAAAGAUGCAUGUCUAACUGUCACACACAUUCAAUCAGGGAUGUGGAAUUCGUAUCAUCCGAUGCAUGGGUCAUGCAGUUCCAGGCAUCUGGCAGUUCGUUUUCUUUCAACAUUAGCCCUGCUGUAGGACUGCUACCGUGAGGACAGGGCCAGGACUGGUAGCUUAUUGCACCACUGUUGAGUAAAGACCUCAGUAAUUUCUUCCUCUCCAUCCAGCUCUCACUAUUGAGUAAGAAUACAGCCUCCAGUACCUGUGCUCUGACUCACUAGACCAUGAGGGAACAAUUGAAGUGUUUACCCAAUAAAAGAGCAGACAAUCAAG